CUCUUUUUUGACCCGUUUUGUUUGAUUUGUCUGGCCCAUUAAGUCCAAUCAAAAGGAAACUCUAAAAAGCUGAGACGCUGAACGAUGAUGAAUCCCUCCCCUUUCGUGUUGUUCUUCGUCGUUUCCACUUCUCCAACUGGCGUCUCAUCUUCUUCUCUAUUGCUCCACUGUAACGUCAGCCACCAAUCCAUCUCUCUCAUUAAACCCCCUUCUGCACUCCUUCAAUCGUAAGCCAUCGAAGCAUUCUGGCUCCCUUCGUUUGUCACCCACUCUCCCUAAACUAACUAUAUAAACAUAUGGUGAUAUUCAAGAUCGAAAAUACUCCACAUCGUCAUCUCCAGAAGAAGUGUUAAUUUUCCUUCCAGAGGCUGAUAAACUCCAAAUUGAGGAGACAAUUAUAUAAAGGUGUGCAUCUUCAGUUCUAUUUGACCUUCGGUUCUAUUUGCUUCUUAAUUCAGAAAAUUUUGAUGACGAGGAUGACGAGGAUGAAGAAGAUCAACAAAAGAAGAGCAGAAAGUUGGUACUAUGUGGUUAAAGGGUUUACUCUACAAAGACCAAAAACAGAGUGAUGAUGCGUUGGAUCACGACAUGACUUAUAUAGUAUUCAGAGGAGAAGAUUUCAAUUGAUAUCCACCCAUGGAUGUCUCACUGUCUGCUUAUCACUUUGCCCUUCACGUGAACUUUGUUAUUCCAAAAUAGAGCUCUUUAUGUUUUUCUGUUUCUUUUACAUUAUGCAAGUGUCUCUCAUACAUCAGUCACAAUACCUGGAAGUGAUUCAGCCAUUGGAUUUAUAUUGAGUCUAUACGGAAUUCAUUUAUGGUGCAUCAAUACAAAAGUUUGGUUUUUAUGUAACACUGGAAUCUCCGAUCCGAUCGGGACUAGCUUAUAGAUUAUUGUAGUCGGCAUCGGCUCUAUACGCUCCCAUUGUUUUUUUUUGUGAAACAGAGAAAGUAAAUAAAAAUUGAAAAUC